rnacentral:rRNA from 1 species
AACGAACGCUGGCGGCAGGCUUAACACAUGCAAGUCGAACGCACCUUUCGGGGUGAGUGGCAGACGGGUGAGUAACGCGUGGGAACGUGCCCUUCAGUUCGGAAUAACCCAGGGAAACUUGGGCUAAUACCGGAUACGUGCGAGAGCAGAAAGAUUUAUCGCUGAAGGAUCGGCCCGCGUCUGAUUAGCUAGUUGGUGAGGUAAUGGCUCACCAAGGCGACGAUCAGUAGCUGGUCUGAGAGGAUGAUCAGCCACAUUGGGACUGAGACACGGCCCAAACUCCUGCGGGAGGCAGCAGUGGGGAAUAUUGGACAAUGGGCGCAAGCCUGAUCCAGCCAUGCCGCGUGAGUGAUGAAGGCCUUAGGGUUGUAAAGCUCUUUCGUCCGGGACGAUAAUGACGGUACCGGAAGAAGAAGCCCCGGCUAACUUCGUGCCAGCCGCCGCGGUAAGAC